AGAGUUUUAUCCUGGCUCAGGACGAACGCUGGCGGCGCGCCUAACACAUGCAAGUCGAACGAGAGAUGAGGAGCUUGCUCUUCAAAUCGAGUGGCGAACGGGUGAGUAACGCGUGAGGAACCUGCCUCAAAGAGGGGGACAACAGUUGGAAACGACUGCUAAUACCGCAUAAGCCCACAGCUCGGCAUCGAGCAGAGGGAAAAGGAGCAAUCCGCUUUGAGAUGGCCUCGCGUCCGAUUAGCUAGUUGGUGAGGUAACGGCCCACCAAGGCGACGAUCGGUAGCCGGACUGAGAGGUUGAACGGCCACAUUGGGACUGAGACACGGCCCAGACUCCUACGGGAGGCAGCAGUGGGGAAUAUUGCACAAUGGGGGAAACCCUGAUGCAGCGACGCCGCGUGGAGGAAGAAGGUCUUCGGAUUGUAAACUCCUGUUGUUGAGGAAGAUAAUGACGGUACUCAACAAGGAAGUGACGGCUAACUACGUGCCAGCAGCCGCGGUAAAACGUAGGUCACAAGCGUUGUCCGGAAUUACUGGGUGCAAAGGGAGCGCCAGGCGGGAGAACAAGUUGGAAGUGAAAUCCCUGGGCUCCACCCAUGAACUGCUUUCAAAACUGUUUUCUUGAGUAGGGCAGAGGUAGGCGGAAUUCCCGGUGUAGCGGUGGGAAUGCGUAGAUAUCGGGAGGAACACCAGUGGCGAAGGCGGCCUACUGGGCACCAACUGACGCUGAGGCUCGAAAGUGUGGGUAGCAAACAGGAUUAGAUACCCUGGUAGUCCACACCGUAAACGAUGAUUACUAGGUGUUGGAGGAUUGACCCCUUCAGUGCCGCAGUUAACACAAUAAGUAAUCCACCUGGGGAGUACGACCGCAAGGUUGAAACUCAAAGGAAUUGACGGGGGCCCGCACAAGCAGUGGAGUAUGUGGUUUAAUUCGACGCAACGCGAAGAACCUUACCAAGUCUUGACAUCCCUUGACGAACAUAGAAAUAUGUUUUCUCUUCGGAGCAAGGAGACAGGUGGUGCAUGGUUGUCGUCAGCUCGUGUCGUGAGAUGUUGGGUUAAGUCCCGCAACGAGCGCAACCCUUAUGGUCAGUUACUACGCAAGAGGACUCUGGCCAGACUGCCGUUGACAAAACGGAGGAAGGUGGGGAUGACGUCAAAUCAUCAUGCCCUUUAUGACUUGGGCUACACACGUACUACAAUGGCGUUAAACAAAGAGAAGCAAGACCGCGAGGUGGAGCAAAACUCAGAAACAACGUCCCAGUUCGGACUGCAGGCUGCAACUCGCCUGCACGAAGUCGGAAUUGCUAGUAAUCGUGGAUCAGCAUGCCACGGUGAAUACGUACCCGGGCCUUGUACACACCGCCCGUCA
rnacentral:rRNA from 1 species